UGCGUAGGCGGGGCAAUAAGUCAGUGGUGAAAUCCUGCGGCUUAACCGUAGAAUUGCCAUUGAAACUGUUGUCCUUGAGUAUAGUUGAAGUGGGCGGAAUAUGUAAUGUAGCGGUGAAAUGCAUAGAUAUUACAUAGAACACCAAUUGCGAAGGCAGCUCACUAAGCUAUUACUGACGCUGAGGCACGAAAGCGUGGGGAGCGAACAGGAUUAGAUACCCAGGUAGUCC
rnacentral:rRNA from 1 species